rnacentral:lncRNA from 1 species
UGUUCUGUGUUUGUGUGUAACUGUUUGUGUUGUUGUUUUUGUAUUGUUAAUGUGAUGUUGUUCUAUGUUUAGCGAUCAAAGACUGUGGAGGGUUGAUGACUUUUGGCCUCUUUUUGAUGUGGUUUGGCUUCAAAAAACCUGAAAGGGUAUGGUUCGGUUAACCUGUAAGGGUCUGGUUACUAACGUAUUGGACUCAUCCCUCGAACUGAGUUCUUACGCGUUUAUUUGAAUCCCUUUGUGUUUGGUGACCUGGCUACUUCGAGAGACUGGUCUUCCAGGUUUGUUGAGAUUUGCAGGUUUCAAGUAGUCUUGUUCGCCUACUAUUUGAUAUUUGUGGUUCGAAAGAGUAUUUAAGCUUGCUGCGUUGGUCUGGGAGUUGUCGACACUUGGAUUUUGUUAC